CUGACAUCUCUUUUGCUUGUAUUUGACCAGCAUCUGUUGAAUUUACUUCAUAGAAAUGGUUAAGUGUUUUCGAACAAGUCCGUGAGCAUCUGAACCUUUAUCAGAGGAGAUUCUUCUAGUGCUUGAUGAUCUUCUGCAUCCCAUGAUGAGCAAACCUCCUGUCCAACAACAUCUCCAAGGCACACUGAUCCAUAUGACUAGCAGCGAAAUAUACAUUGUGGACCAAAGAGGAAACUGACAACACACAGACAGAAGAAGACAGAGAAGGUCACUUCUGAUCCAUCAAAGUCCUCAUCUUCUGUGUCUGAGUUGAACAGCUGGGCAACAGCUUUUGAACAGCUUUCUUCAUCAAACAUGCCGGGUUCCCUCUCAUCAUGGUUGAUUGCUGCCAGCGUACGUAGUGUACGUAUUAUGUCCCUGUGUCAGCGGGAAAUGGUCCGACAGUCAGAUGACUGUUGUGAAGAUGGAAGAGUGCAGGAUCUACAAUUACACUAAUAAUAAAAUUUUUUAAGUAUUUUGUUUGAUUUUGUUUCGCUUUCUGCCAUGUUUUGAAUGUGAUGCUCAGCCUACAACCCAAUGAUUGUGUUUGUAUUAUUAUUUUUUUAAUCAACAAUUAAAAAAUGACAAAACAAUGGACUGUAAGCUGAUUAUUUCUAUACAGUCGUAUGUUAUUAAAGUAAAUUAAAUUGUUAGUUGAAUGCUAGAAAUAACGUUCUGGGAUUAAUAAAACUCCUGGCAAACCAAAAACAAACCAUAAAAAAUAACGUUCUGGGAACCAAAAACUAACGUUCUGAGAACGUUAAGAAAACUUUACUGGCAAACUAAAAACAAACCAUAAAAACUAACGUUCUGGGAACCAAACACUAACAUUCAGAAAACUUUCUGGGAACCAAAAACUAAAGUUCUGGGAACCAAAAACUAACGUUCUGAGAACAUUCUGGGAACCAAAAACUAACGUUCUGAGAACGUUAAGAAAACUUUCCUGGCAAACUAAAAACAAACCAUAAAAACUAACGUUCUGGGAACCAAACACUAACAUUCAGAAAACUUUCUGGGAACCAAAAACUAACGUUCUGAGAACGUUCUGGGAACCAAAAACUAACGUUCUGAGAACGUUCUGGGAACCAAAAACUAACGUUCUGAGAACGUUAAGAAAACUUUCCUGGCUAACCAAAAACAAACCAUAAAAAAUAACGUUCUGGGAACCAAAAACUAACGUUCUGAGAACGUUCUGGGAACCAAAAACUAACGUUCUGGGAACCAAAAAUUGUUA